GACGGUAUAGCUCAGGGGUAGAGUGUUUGCCUAGUAUGCACGAGGCCCUGAGUUUGAUUCCCAGCACCACCU
rnacentral:tRNA from 1 species